GAAGAAUACAACCCGGGGGUACAAAAUGACCCCAGGGCGUACGGAUAGAGUUGAAUAGCUCAGCCGUCAAUGAGAUUUCGACAUCGAAUUGCUUCGUUGUAGUUGUAGUACAGGUGCCCCUUUCGACAAAUCAGGUUGUGUGUACAGCCUUUUUCUACGCUGAGCGCGCGCUGGUGUCAUUCUGUCUUGUGGCUCGCGGCCGCGGCGCGAGGUGUAAAACGACAAACAGUGGUUUCAGUUGGUUCAUGACUGCUGGUACGCACACACACACCUCUCUUGUUCAGUUGUUCAUGAUAUAUCAAAGAAGCUGAAGUUUUCCUCGUGAUUGGGAGCUGAGUCCGGAUUAUCCUUUCUUCUUCUCCGACAUCUUUUGUGACAUAUUUGGGUAAGUGUGCA